GAAAUAUUCAAAAUUUCAGAAAGAGUGUGAAGAUAAUGUCCAGUCAUUGGGGGGAGUAUAGAAAUUUUAGCAUCUGGGAAGUAACAGAAUUUGUUCUCUGUUUACAUAAAUUUCUUUAAAGAAUACUGCUUCCUAGCUGGGCGCAAUGGCACACUAUAAUCCCAGCCACUCAGGAGGCUGAGGUAGGAUGAUCACAAGUUUGAGGCCAGUCUCAACAAUUUAGCCAGACCCUGUCUCAAAAAAAAAGGACUGGGGAUACGGGGAUAUAGUUCAGUGGUAAAGCAUCCCUAGGUUCAAUCCCCAAUCCCCAAAACAAAAAACAACUACAAACAACAACAACAACAACAACAACAACAAAACCCAAAAAACCCUGUUUCCUGUAAUGUAGUUUUUGUAUGGGGGUGUGCAAUGCCCUGACCCAGUUUUUAGACCCUGGCUAGAGGCCAGCUAGUUCUUCCUCUUGUGCUGCUGAUUAAGUCCACACCCUCAACCAUCUCCCUUAUCAGGGCUUCUACACUAUGGGCCAUUAUUCAUGCACUAUAAUCAUCCAGGGCCAUGUACCAGACAUCAGGGACAGCCCUGUGCCUCAAAGCCCCCUGAUGCUACUCAAAUUGCCAAUCCUCAAGAUGUGUGCUCUAACCCUUUCCUUCCUGCAGAAACCACAACCCCUGAAUGACCCUGUAUGAAAUACUGUGCUCUGCGCCAGGAACUGAGCACUGUAGCCUGUCCUUAUCCAUGGUUUUGCUUUCUGGGUUUCAGUUACCAGUGGCCAAUUAUGAUCCUAAAAUAUUAAAUGAAAAAUUCCAGAAAAACUUAUAAAUUUUAAAAUGUGCCAUCUUCUGAGUAGUCUAAUGAAAUCUGGAACAAUCUAGCUCUUUCCUUCCUAGGUCUUAAAUCAUCUAGUGUAUCAUCCAGUGUAUCUCUUUA
rnacentral:lncRNA from 1 species